AUUCUAUGGAAAAACGAUGCACAUGUAUGUCUUAUGGCUUAUUUGGAGGAACGUUAGCUGUAUUUGUUGCAAUAUCUACAGGGAUACAUAUUGCAACGUGCUUUUAUUUCCGGUAGUAUAUAUAUAUAUAUAUAUUUUCUAUAAACUUAAGUUGUAAUGUCGUCAUAUCGAUGUACUCGUUUAGUACGGUGUUUUUUUCAUAAUAAGGUGAAGUUGCACAUGAUUGUGUCAAGUGUUUUUAAUGACAAACAAAUAAACAAUAGAAAUAUUUGAAUAUUUUGCUAAAGCAACAUCUGAACCUAAAAUUAAGCUGAAAAAUAUCUUUUGUUUAUGGCUGAUAUGUUAUGACAUUAAAAUUUACAGCAUAUAGUUAAGAAUUUGACACAGAAUAAUACUUGCGUAUGUGGAAAUUUUAGUCUUUAUUUGUUUCUUAUAAAUGAAGCUAACUGACUUAUUACUGUCAGUUCCACCGCAUAUUUUGAUACGAUAUAUACCUUUGUUCUCAAUUAUUCCGAAAUUUGCACAUAAUUUUAGAUUACUAAAAUGUUGGUGUCAUGGUUUUGUCCAGCAGUGUCAUGGUUUAGUUCGUGAACGACAUGGUUCUGUUUUUGAUCGUUUUCGUGUACAAUGGAAGAGUAAUGAUCAACAUAAACAGACAUCUAUUGAAAUACUGUUAAAAAUAUUUUCGUCGAUACUUUUUUUUCGUGUUUUAUCCAUUCUAUAGAUUGCAAUUUUGUAAAUAUAGACAAUGCAAUGUCCCAUAGGAACUCCCUUUGCGGUUAAAACUGUGACACUCUCACUAUAAACUUUCGUCAAAAAUGAUAUCCAAGAACGGAAAGUUUAUUUGAAUUUUAUUCAAAGGUCAAAAUAUAGGGCUGUGCGGCAUUUUUCUAUACAACCAUUACCUCCAUUUGUGGACUUCCUAAGCAUUCAAAUUUAGGUGCUACCAUGUUUUACUAUCCUGGCUACAUUCCCAAAUAUAACAUCAAAACUGAAUACUAGAAUUUGGGAUAGAAAAAUACCGUGACACGUCUUAUAGCAAUGCGAAUUCACUCUCAGCAACAGUCACGUUCGAUACUUAAAAAAUCAGACAACUUAAUGGCAAACCACAAUCUAAGACGUGGAAAAAUGUACUUAGUUAGUUCGUACAAAGACACAACGUAUGGAUCAACAACUUAUUGAUGGUGUCCAUAAAAUUUACGGAGUGUCGUUUUUAAUCUGUCUUCCUCAUACCUUUGUUGGAGCAGUUUCUGAGUAAGGAACACACUCCGUUUAGUGUAAAACAUGCACGAGUAUAACGUAUCAACUGAGAUAUGUAAACACCAUACGAAGGGGUAGAGUAUAAACUUAACUCUGGCAUUGAUGUAACAGUGCAGCAAAGAAGAACCAAGUAAUAAUCUCAGUUGAAAAGGACUUGAUUAUACAAUUUAGAAAAAUGACAGUUUUCGUUUCUUAGUCAAGUGACAAAUUAUGUAUCUUCGGUUUUUCACAUGCACCAUCAAACUAACUAUCAAUAUUAAGGUGAAACAAACAUGUUUGAAUUUGGAUCUAAACGAUGACAAAUUUAUAGACACUUAGCUGAACGAUGUCAAUCGCUUAACCAAAGCAUUACCAUUUCGAUAUUUUGGUUAUCUUGCGUUGAUUUCUUAAAAACGUCAAUUUCAAUUUAGAUCGUUCGACUUACAAUAUUGAUUCACACAUAUUAUUGCCUUUUCGUUUGCUCAGUUGAAAAGAUCUGAGGCAGUCAUUCUAGGAAGUAACAUAAAAAAAGUCAUGACCAACUUGAACUUAACCCAGCUAUGAUUAAAUGCACUGUACUAAACGCUCUUCUAUAUAACGAUUUCACUACCCGUAGUACAGUAGACAUGGAAUAUUGAUUAAGAAAUUAUAAAAGCAAUCCGUACAAUUUCCAAUGACAAUUGCGACUUUUUGUUUUAAAAGUCAUUAAAAAAAUAUAUCUUAUAAUAAACUCCCGAAACAUAUAAAACAACAGUGCUGCAAAUAUUGAGGUAAAAUAAUGUAAGAAAAUCAAACCAGAAAGAUGAGCCGUACAAUCAAUUCUGGUGCAAAAAAGCAAGACGUCCCUCACUGGACAUUUUAUCGUGCAUUUUGAAAAAAAUAUAUAUACAUUAAUACAUUUAAAAAAAUAUACUUAUGUAACAACAUGUUCAGAAGAAUUUACAUCUUCACCAUCAUUUAUUCUCUAUACAUGUAUAUAUUUUAUAUUUUCACAGAAAACGAGUGAAAAAAACUGCUACGGUUUAUGAAGAUAUGCAGUUCAAAACGGGUAAGGCAUAUAAUUAUCUCUAUUUUUAUAAAUAAAUACACAAAGGUAGAAAAGAUUUGAUUAGAUAGAUUAAUAAAUAAAUGAAUAACUGAAAAAAUAUAUAAACAAUAAACUGAUAUAAACAUUAUUUAGAAAUUAAUAUUCCCGAAAGUCAUUAAAUAAUAUUAACAGAUAGAUAGAGUACAUACACUAUUAUUAUGAUAUAAUGUUUUUUUUUUAUGUAACAUGUCUUCUGAUUGGCUGAAAUUUUUGUGUGUAUCAGCCAAUGGAAACAUGAUCGUGACGUCAUCAACGUUUUUAAUGAAUUUUUCCUUUAAAUGCAAUUUAGAAAUAAUUUAUAAAGAAUGAUUUUCAUAACCUAAAACUACUCUGGUAUUAACUUUCAAAUAAAACGCUAAGCGAUGUUUCAGUGUGUACCACAUUUUUGAAGUUUUCCUUAUUAGACAGAAUCGCCGCGAUAUAGCCUUUUUGUGCUAAUGCGGUGUAAAGCAACCAACAACCAAUCAAUCAAUAUUAGACAGAAAAAAUAUUACAAUCAUUCCUUUUAUAUAAACAAUAUACAAAUUUAUAAAUAUAUAUUUGCGUAAUGACCGGUAUCAUUGCCAGUGUACAAUUAUCAAAGACAGUUAAUUUUUUGUUACUAUGGCCUUCGACAAUGAGCAAAACCUAUACAAUAAAUUUAGUUUUCAAAGAUGACAACAUAACAAAAUGCGAAACAAUUCAAAAUACGAAAUUCAUAAGUAUUGCAGUUCAGUCGAGCAAAUGUAAAUAGUUAUAUCAACUCUGUCAAAACUUCCACAGAAUUGUCAGAAACUUAGACACAAUCAAAUAUAACUGUAAUAAAUAAACGGUGACAAUAAUAUGUAAAUUCUAAAAAAAAAAUGCAAGUAGUAAUAUCAUUUCUUCUCUUAGUCCUUCUAUUUUCUUUGCUCAAUUGAAAGACUGAAUGUUUCGUCUGGUUAAACUAAGUUUUGUUCACAUACAGUUAUAAGAAACGUAGAAACGAAAAAAAGGUUUAUGUAAAAAAAAUCAUGCUUUUUGAGGAACUACAUGUGAAAAUAAAACAUAAUUGAUGAAAUUCUUCACAUGUCUUGCUUCAUUUAAAAGAAUAUUCUGUUUUUUUGUAUUAGGAAGUUUGAGAAUCUCUGAUUAUUUCUUAAAACCAGUAAAAUCGCUUUUGAUGUUAAGACAACUAUUUGUUAUCUGGAAAAUUUAUUGAUUAUGUAUAUUGUACUUUAUAUAUUUACUUACUCUUGUUGUACUAUUAUAUAACUUUGGAUUUGAAUAUGUGUAAAGCAUAGUUUUAGUGUUCUUUUAAAUAUAAUAGGAAUUACUAUAACUGGUAUGACUAUAACUUUUGACAAAUCUAUAAACUAUAACACAGUUUUAGAAGUUCUAUGAAAUUAAAUUAGAACAAGCAAAGUUGAUAAGAGUUUUGAAUUUUUUUAUUUACAAAAUAGGAUAUAUAACAACAACAUCAAUGAUUGUUUCUGAAUCUUAUAUCAUAUAGGUUUCAUGCUAUGACGGUCCAUCGGUAUUUAUAAUAGUCAAUUUAAACUUUUAUUUUGCAGUUGAAAGACAAAAGGGAAGCAAUGAGGAAACAUACACUGAAUUGACAUCAUUAUGAUAUUAAAGGCGAAGGUUCACAGAUUUAAUUUUUAGAGCUUAU
rnacentral:lncRNA from 1 species